rnacentral:rRNA from 1 species
UCUCUUAGUAAUGGCGAAUGAACAGGGAAUAGUUCAGAGUGAUAAUCGGGGCCUCUGGCCUUGAAUUGUAGUCUUGCGACGGCUUGCCAGCGGUGGCUCAGAUGUAAGCCUUCUGGAAAGGAGCAUCAAAGAGGGUGAGAAUCCUGUUUGUCAUCUGAAUGCACCCGCAUACGGCAGACGUUCAAAGAGUCACGUUCCUCGGGAUUGGAGCGCAAAGUGGGUGGUAAAUUUCAUCUAAAACUAAAUAUAGGUUUGAGACCGAUAGCAAACAAGUACCCUGAGGGAAAGGUGAAAAGGACUUUGGAAAGAGAGUUAAAAGUGUCUGAAAUUGCUGAAAGGGAAGCGAAUGGAACCAGCCGUUCUUUGCAAGAUUGUUGCACGCUGAUGUGACUUGUGGGCUCUUCAGCGCAAGCGGAGGGCUUGCUUGCAAGCUGCUAGCGUGCGGUGUCUCUUGCAUUGCGCGUCAAUGUCAGUCCACUUGUGAGGAAAACACCGGGAACAUGGUAGUCUUCUUACGGGCAGGCGAAUGUUUUUGGCUGAACUCACAGGCGAACUGCUUUCAGCGCAUAUGGUCGUCGCGCUGCGCGCUUCGCUUUGGCUUCGGCCUUUGCAGAGCGUGCUUCGCGCACCAUCUGCUUGGACAUUGACUAAAUGGUUUCAUUCGACCCGUCUUGAAACACGGACCAAGGAGUCUAACAUAUGUGCAAGUUCUCGGGCGGGAAAACCUGCUUGCGCAAUGAAAGUGACUGCUGGGAUUGUUGCACCAGCAACCGACCAAUCGAUUGUGAGAGGUUUGAGUAUGAGCACAUCUGUUAGGACCCGAAAGAUGGUGAACUAUGCCUGAGAAGGGUGAAGUCAGGGGAAACUCUGAUGGAGGCUCGUAGCGAUACUGACGUGCAAAUCGUUCGUCAUACUUGGGUAUAGGGGCGAAAGACUAAUCGAACCAUCUAGUAGCUGGUUCCCUCCGAAGUUUCCCUCAGGAUAGCUGGAGUUGAACAGUUUUAUCAGGUAAAGCGAAUGAUUAGAGGCAUCGGGGACGCGUUGUCCUCGACCUAUUCUCAAACUUUAAAUGGGUAAGAUCCAGGAGUUGCUUGGUUGAACUUCUGGGAUAAAUGACAACUCUAAGUGGGCCAUUUUUGGUAAGCAGAACUGGCGAUGAGGGAUGAACCUAACGUCUGGUUAAGGUGCUUAACUGCUCGCUCAUCAGAUACCAUAAAGGGUGUUGGUUCAUUUUAACAGCAGGAC